rnacentral:rRNA from 1 species
CAAAGAUUAAGCCAUGCAAGUGUAAGUAUAAUUGUUUUACGGUGAAACUGCGAAUGGCUCAUUAAAUCAGUUAUAGUUUAUUUGAUGCUAUAGGUCGAAAGGCCACUACAUGGAUAUCUGUAGUAACAUAGAGCUAAUACAUGCAAUAUAGUCUGACUUUUUGGAAGGACUAGCACUUAUUAGAUAUUAAACCAGUCCCAGCAAUGGGUUUUAUGGUGAUUCAUAGUAACUGAACAAAUCACAUGGUCUUGUACCGGUGAUGUUUCAUUCAAAUUUCUGCCCUAUCAACUAGAUGGUAGUAUAUAGGACUACCAUGGUUGUAACGGGUAACGGAGGAUUAGGGGUUUGAUUCCGGAGAAGGAGCAUGAGAAACGGCUACUAUUUCUAAGGAAAGCAGCAGGCGCGCAAAUUAUUCAAUGGAAACAAUUUUCCGAAAUAGUGACAAAAAUAUCAAUGCUGGAUACUAUGUAUCUAGUAAUUGGAAUGAGUAACAAUUUAAAUCCCUUAACAAGUAACAAUUA